rnacentral:rRNA from 1 species
UACAGAGGGUGCGAGCGUUGUCCGGAAUCACUGGGCGUAAAGGGCGCGUAGGUGGCUUGUUAAGCGUGUGGUGAAAGCCUGGGGCUCAACCCCAGGUCUGCCGUGCGAACUGGCAAGCUUGAGCGUAGUAGAGGCAGGUGGAAUUUCGGGUGUAGCGGUGGAAUGCGUAGAUAUCCGAAAGAACACCGGUGGCGAAGGCGGCCUGCUGGGCUACUGCUGACACUGAUGCUCGACAGCGUGGGGAGCAAACAGG